UACGUAGGGUGCGAGCGUUAAUCGGAAUUACUGGGCGUAAAGCGUGCGCAGGCGGUUUUGUAAGACAGGCGUGAAGUCCCCGGGCUCAACCUGGGAAUGGCGCUUGUGACUGCAAAGCUGGAGUGCGGCAGAGGGGGAUGGAAUUCCGCGUGUAGCAGUGAAAUGCGUAGAUAUGCGGAGGAACACCGAUGGCGAAGGCAAUCCCCUGGGCCUGCACUGACGCUCAUGCACGAAAGCGUGGGGAGCAAACAGG
rnacentral:rRNA from 1 species